rnacentral:rRNA from 1 species
AGAGUUUGAUCAUGGCUCAGGACGAACGCUGGCGGCGUGCCUAACACAUGCAAGUCGAGCGGAGAAUGCGGACAUGUUUACAUGGAAGUAUUCUUAGCGGCGGACGGGUGAGUAACACGUGGGUAACCUGCCUCAAAGAGGGGGAUAGCCUUCCGAAAGGAAGAUUAAUACCGCAUAAGCCUGCAGUACCGCAUGGUACAGCAGGAAAAGGAGCAAUCCGCUUUGAGAUGGACCCGCGGCGCAUUAGCUAGUCGGUGAGGUAACGGCUCACCAAGGCGACGAUGCGUAGCCGACCUGAGAGGGUGAUCGGCCACAUUGGAACUGAGACACGGUCCAGACUCCUACGGGGGGCAGCAGUGGGGAAUAUUGCACAAUGGGCGAAAGCCUGAUGCAGCAACGCCGCGUGAAUGAUGAAGGCCUUCGGGUCGUAAAGUUCUUUGAUCAGGAAUGAUAAUGACAGUACCUGAAAAACAAGCCACGGCUAACUACGUGCCAGCAGCCGCGGUAAUACGUAGGUGGCGAGCGUUGUCCGGAAUUACUGGGCGUAAAGGAUGCGUAGGUGGAUACUUAAGUGGGAUGUGAAAUCCCCGGGCUCAACCCGGGAACUGCAUUCCAAACUGGGUAUCUAGAGUGCAGGAGAGGAAAGCGGAAUUCCUAGUGUAGCGGUGAAAUGCGUAGAUAUUAGGAGGAACACCAGUGGCGAAGGCGGCUUUCUGGACUGUAACUGACACUGAGGCAUGAAAGCGUGGGUAGCAAACAGGAUUAGAUACCCUGGUAGUCCACGCCGUAAACGAUGGGUACUAGGUGUAGGAGGUAUCGACCCCUUCUGUGCCGUCGUUAACACAAUAAGUACCCCGCCUGGGGAGUACGGUCGCAAGACUAAAACUCAAAUGAAUUGACGG